UUUUACCAUUGCUUGCCACAAUUUUAAUAAUCAUCUGGACUUUAUCUUGUAGUUGGAGGCUGCUUACAUGCGAAAAUGACCAUAAAAGAAACAAAGGCUUUUGAGGUUACUCUGUCCGUAGUUGAAGUACUUUCACCCUCAAAUGCUUUCGUCACAUGUAUUUGAGAUUACAAACGGAAGAUAAUCUCAGAUAGAUUUAGAACAGAUUUGUAUCAGCGUUAGAAGAUUAGAUUAAUUUUUUAACACUCAAGUUUUUGUAACUAUAACUACAGUCAUGAUAAAUAGAAUAUACUUAUGUGUAUGUUGCUAACUUGCUAUAAUACAUGACAGAUAGUAUUUGUACACAACUUCUUUACUAGAAUACUUUAGCUAAACAAGAAAAUCAUGUUGGGCCUGUGCACCGCACUGGCUUACCCUGCUAGUUAAUAGAAAAGAAAUUCUUAUGUUCCAUUGGUACAUCAAACAAGAACAAGAAACACAUAACGGAAUCUUCUAAUUCAUCCAUAGAUGUUCAGAAAAUGAUAUUUUGGAGGAUUAAAAACAAUAUAUGUUACAAGACUACAUGAAUUAUACAAAGAACAAUUAAUUACAGACAUGCAGAGGAGAAAAUUAAUUAACCUUUGGCUAGUUGAGAUUUCCAUUACUGUUUGGUCUCAGCCACUCAAUAUCAUGUUUUUUUUUUUUCUUUCUUACUUUCGCUUAAAUUUAUUUUUGGUUUAAUACAUUUAUAGCCC